rnacentral:rRNA from 1 species
AACGUAGGUGGCAAGCGUUAUCCGGAUUUACUGGGCGUAAAGGGCGCGUAGGCGGUCGUGACAAGUCACUUGUGAAAUCUCCGGGCUUAACUCGGAACGGUCAAGUGAUACUGUCGGACUAGAGUACAGAAGGGGCAACUGGAAUUCUCGGUGUAGCGGUGAAAUGCGUAGAUAUCGAGAGGAACACCUGCGGCGAAGGCGGGUUGCUGGGCUGAUACUGACGCUGAGGCGCGAAAGCCAGGGGAGCGAACGGG